UUUUUUAAGCUUUUCUUCCCAUCUUGCCCCUCCCCUCUCACUCUCAACAUCAUCCAUCAGUUGCCUACCCCAACCCUCACCGCCCUAUCCCAUUUAAUUUUGUACGAUUCAUCUUCUUCUUCUUCAAUCAAAUCACUACUCCUUCAAUUUUGUUGUCAGUUAUCCAACUCAAUUGAUCCUUCUUCAAUUCGAUUAUCAGAUUCUUUAAUUCAUUUGUUCCUCCUUCAAUGACCUUUUCCUUUUCCAGCCACCCCAUGUAUUAAGAAGUUGUCCAGACAUGAAGACUUAUCAACGAUGAUGGUGUUCGGGCGAUGAAGAUGGUACGUGGUGGAUAAAGAAAAGGCCCAACAACGGUGGUGGGUUCCGUCACAAGUCAGUCUGGGGGUUGUUAGGAUUCCAGCAGAUGAAUCCUCUGGUCAACUAUGGUGAAGGUACGUUUUCCAGUAAAAAGACUUGAGGUUUGGCAGUUACUACGAUAGCGAUUGAUGGUGACCACUGUGGUGGUUGAUUGACUCAGAUGGUGGAACCCCUUUCUUCUACUCUUUUUUAGAAAUUAGUUACUACAUUUGAUUACUUUGAUAUACCGAAUAAAUUUGCAAACUCAAAACACUUGCAGGUGCUGUAUUUGUAUUAUUUUGUAGAACUGUGUAUGUUCCCUUGAUCUCUCAUGCCCAUACCUGGUUAACAAUUACUUGAGCUAUAAUAGCAUAAGGUAUUUAGUGUACCAAAUAUGUUCAAAAAUUGUUACAUAGUUACAGCUGAAUCACCGAGUCAUUGUUGUUACAAUUGAAUUUGCAGCAGCAAUCACCAUAUUAAGUUGAAACAAUCAAGAUAUCGUCCUGCUUCAUUUGAAAAUGGAUUCCCCUUAUGUUAAAGCAAAAAAUGUUUAGUUGGUUGAGAAGGAUGAGGAAAGGGCGUUGAUAGCGCACUAAAGGAUCUGGUGAUUGUUAUGAAACAACGGAAUUGGGCCGAAGAAGCAGUUUAAGUGAUUAAGUUUUUACGAAGAAGAUGUUCGGAUAAGGCUCAAGAAAACCACAACAUCACAAGGGAAGAAGUUUCAAGUUUCGGUCGAGCAGGAGGCAACUCGACUGCUGGGGAUUUUGUGUUAGGCAUUAAUGCAACAAAACAAUUAUGUAGAAGACGAGAUGCAUACCAAAGGGCGUUAUUGAUCGCGCUAGAUAACAACAAGAUGCACAACCUUGAUAUAGUAUGUAUAGUUAUUCAUAUAUAGAUACGCGUAUGUAUAAUAUUUAUUUGUGUAUAGGCAUAGGCAAGUAAAUGCAUAUACUAGAGUUAAAGUAGAUACACUACCAAAAAUUCGUGUAUCUCAUUGCUGUAUACAUGAAAUUCUUCUGACAUGGCCAUAGAGGUCUGAAAAAGUGGCUAAUUUUGAGAUGUACUGUUAACUUUUUUUGUAAUUAAUUAGAAGAGUAAACUGCCAUUUUAGUC